UGGACAGAACCGGGAGCAAUCCACCACUGGCCGAAACCCAAAAAUCACAGACAACACAGUCCUUUAUUUCAAUAAAACAGUCUGGCUGAGAUCUACACAUUUGGGACUCACUGGGAUAUUUGUCAUCUCAUAAAAUCUGAAUCUCUAGCAAGAGCAAGUUUUAUGAAGAAACCCUCCAUGUGGCUUCAGAUAAUUUUAACCAUGUGACUUCAAGGAAACCAACAGUCCAUAGAGUUCACUAAACACUUCAGACUAAUGGCUUACACAAAGUGAUUGUGUUAUUACAGAUAAUCAACAGGACUAUCAGUCAGAGGUGCUACUUCAAUAUGUAAAAAUUCAUUAAGAUGCCCAUAAAAAUUAAUUGGAAAUGUUCUAUUUCCUUCAAUCAUCAUUUUAAUCUUAGCCAUUUUAAUGGAUCCGCCUUAGGUCUGCUCCCUGGGAGAUAAAUGUCAAUUUUUUUACAGUGAUGUGAAAGUACUUUCGUGUACUGUAUACUCAUGUAUAAUCUAUAAAUAAAUAAAUAAGAUUUAUAAUCUAUCACAUUA